rnacentral:rRNA from 1 species
CCUACGGGGGGCAGCAGUAGGGAAUAUUGCUCAAUGGGGGAAACCCUGAAGCAGCAACGCCGCGUGGAGGAUGAAGGUUUUCGGAUUGUAAACUCCUUUUGUUAGAGAAGAUAAUGACGGUAUCUAACGAAUAAGCACCGGCUAACUCCGUGCCAGCAGCCGCGGUAAUACGGAGGGUGCAAGUGUUACUCGGAAUCACUGGGCGUAAAGGGCGCGUAGGCGGGGUAGCAAGUCAGAUGUGAAAUCCUAUGGCUUAACCAUGGAACUGCAUUUGAAACUGUUAUUCUAGAGUAUGGGAGGGGAAGGUGGAAUUCUUGGUGUAGGGGUAAAAUCCGUAGAGAUCAAGAGGAAUACUCAUUGCGAAGGCGACUGGCUGGAACAUAACUGACGCUGAUGCGCGAAAGCGUGGGGAGCAAACAGGAUUAGAUACCCUGGUAGUC